rnacentral:tRNA from 1 species
GCGGGGAUAGCUUAGUUGGGAGAGUGUUAGAUUGAAGAUUUGAAGGUCGUGUGUUCAAUCCACACUUACCGCA